GAUGAAGAACGUAGUGAAACGCGAUAGGUAAUGUGAAUUGCAGAAUUCCGUGAAUCAUCAAAUCUUUGAACGCACAUUGCGCCUUCCGGUAUUCCGGUAGGCAUGUCUGUUUGAGCGUCAGCAAAACCCCCCUUCGGCAUGGGUAUGUAUUUCUAUACCUCCGCCGGUGUUGGGUCAAGAUGGCUGAUAGGUGAUGGCUACGUCCCUACCUGCUCCUGCCCCAAACUUGCUGUUAUGACCGUGAGCCCAUCCGGGUCUGGUUCAAUGGAGUGGUAUUAAUAGUCUUCCAAUGAACCUGCCGGAAGCUCUUACGGCAGAAAGACUUGGGUCCUCCCCUUUUAUGGUAAAGGCUCUUGAAGUUUUGACCUCAAAUCAGACAAGGAUACCCGCUGAACUUAAGCAUAUCAAUAAGCGGAGGA
rnacentral:misc_RNA from 1 species